rnacentral:rRNA from 1 species
AUUGAACGCUGGCGGCAUGCCUUACACAUGCAAGUCGAACGGUAACGGGCCUUCGGGUGCCGACGAGUGGCGAACGGGUGAGUAAUACAUCGGAACGUGCCCGAUCGUGGGGGAUAACGAGGCGAAAGCUUUGCUAAUACCGCAUACGAUCUACGGAUGGAAGCAGGGGACCGCAAGGCCUUGCGCGGACGGAGCGGCCGAUGGCAGAUUAGGUAGUUGGUGGGAUAAAAGCUUACCAAGCCGACGAUCUGUAGCUGGUCUGAGCGGAUGAUCAGCCACACUGGGACUGAGACACGACCCAGACUCCGACGGGAGGCAGCGGUGGGUAAUUUUGGACAAUGGGCGCAAGCCUGAUCCAGCCAUGCCGCGUGCAGGAUGAAGGCCUUCGGGUUGUAAACUGCUUUGUACGGAACGAAAAGCCUUCUUUUAAUACAGGAGGGUCAUGACGGUACCGUAAGAAUAAGCACCGGCUAACUACGUG